GCGCUCGCUUCGGCAGCACGUGGACUGACAUUGGGACGAUACGGAGAAGGUUAGCACGGCCCCUGCGCAAGGAUGGCGCGCACAUUCGUGAAGCGUUCCGAGUUCUU